GUGGGUGAUCUGCCCUGCACUUCGGGAUAAGCUUGGGAAACUGGGUCUAAUACCGGAUAGGAGCCAUCUUUAGUGUGGUGGUUGGAAAGUUUUUCGGUGUAGGAUGAGCUCGCGGCCUAUCAGCUUGUUGGUGGGGUAAUGGCCUACCAAGGCGGCGACGGGUAGCCGGACUGAGAGGUUGGUCGGCCACAUUGGGACUGAGAUACGGCCCAG
rnacentral:rRNA from 1 species